GACGAACGCUGGCGGCGUGCUUAACACAUGCAAGUCGAACGGAAAGGCCCUGCUUUUGUGGGGUGCUCGAGUGGCGAACGGGUGAGUAACACGUGAGUAACCUGCCCUUGACUUUGGGAUAACUUCAGGAAACUGGGACUAAUACCGGAUAGGAGCUCCUGCUGCAUGGUGGGGGUUGGAAAGUUUCGGCGGUUGGGGAUGGACUCGCGGCUUAUCAGCUUGUUGGUGGGGUAGUGGCCUACCAAGGCUUUGACGGGUAGCCGGCCUGGGAGGGUGACCGGCCACAUUGGGACUGAGAUACGGCCCAGACUCCUACGGGAGGCAGCAGUGGGGAAUAUUGCACAAUGGGCGGAAGCCUGAUGCAGCAACGCCGCGUGCGGGAUGACGGCCUUCGGGUUGUAAACCGCUUUCGCCUGUGACGAAGCGUGAGUGACGGUAAUGGGUAAAGAAGCACCGGCUAACUACGUG
rnacentral:rRNA from 1 species